rnacentral:rRNA from 1 species
UACAGAGGUCUCAAGCGUUGUUCGGAUUCAUUGGGCGUAAAGAGCUCGUAGGCGGCCAGUUGCGUCCGCUGUGAAAUCCCAGGGCUUAACCCUGGGCGUGCAGUGGAUACGGGCUGGCUGGAGGCAGGCAGGGGAGAACGGAAUUCCCGGUGUAGCGGUGAAAUGCGCAGAUAUCGGGAGGAACACCGGUGGCGAAGGCGGUUCUCUGGGCCUGUACUGACGCUGAGGAGCGAAAGCGUGGGGAGCGAACAGG